AUCCUGCCAGUAGUCAUACGCUCGUCUCAAAGAUUAAGCCAUGCAUGUGUAAGUAUAAAUAAUUUUUACUUUGAAACUGCGAAUGGCUCAUUAUAUCAGUUAUAGUUUAUUAGAAAUAUUUUACUACUUGGAUAACCGUAGUAAUUCUAGGGCUAAUACAUGAGUAAAACCUCAACUUCGGAAGAGGUGUGUUUAUUAGUAUGAAAACCAUAUAUCUUCGGAUAUAAUAGUGAGUAAUAAUAACCUUUCAUAUCGUAUGUCGUAAGAUAACGAUAGUUCUUUCAAGUUUCUGCCCUAUCAGCUUUCGAUGGUAGUAUAUGGGACUACCAUGGCAGUAACGGGUAACGAAGAAUUUGGGUUCGAUUUCGGAGAGGGAGCCUGAGAGAUGGCUACCACAUCCAAGGAAGGCAGCAGGCGCGUAAAUUACCCAAUCCUGACAUAGGGAGGUAGUGACAAUAAAUCACAAUGCGGAACUUUUAGUUUUGCAAUUGGAUUGAGAACAAUGUACAAAUGUUAUCGAUAAACAAUUGGAGGGCAAGUCUGGUGCCAGCAGCCGCGGUAAUUCCAGCUCCAAUAGCGUAUAUUAACGUUGUUGCA
rnacentral:rRNA from 1 species